AGGUCGUAACAAGGUUUCCGUAGGUGAGCCUGCGGAGGGAUCAUUACUGAGUUAGGGUCCUCGUGGCCCGACCUCCAACCCUUGUGUUUAACCAUACCAUGUUGCUUCGGGCGGGCCCCGUCUUCGCAAGAAGACCGCCGGGGGGGUUUUCACCGCCCUCUGGUCCGUUGCCCGUCGAUAGCCCUUAAACCAAAACUCUUUAUGAAACUGUCGUCUAAGUCUCAAUUUUUAUAAUCAAAAUAAAA
rnacentral:misc_RNA from 1 species